rfam:Myotis brandtii contig305642, whole genome shotgun sequence.
GCCGAUGUGGCUCAGUGGUUAGAGUGUCGGCCUGCGGACCGAAGGGUCCCGGGUUCGAUUCUGGUCAGGGGCA